CGGAGUAGCAUACUUAGUGGCAACGGGUGCGUACGCGUAACAACUGCCACUACCGGGGGAUAGCUGGCGAAAGCCGGGGUAACCCGCAUAGUCCCUUUUAGUCACCUGGCUUUCUGGGUAAGCAUUUAUGGGUAGUGGAGGGGUUUGCGUCUGAUUAGGUAGUUGGCGGGGUAACGGCCCACCAAGCCUGUGAUCAGUAGGGGUUCUGAGAGGAUUGGCCCCCACAUGGGUACUGAGAUACGGACCCAACUCCUACGGGAGGCAGCAGUAGGGAAUAUUGGGCAAUGGAGGCAACUCUGACCCAGCCAUGCCGCGUGAAGGAUGACGGCGCUCAGCGUUGUAAACUUCUUUUAUCAGGGAAGAACUAUGGGGAUGCGUCCUUAUUUGACGGUACCUGAGGAAUAAGCACCGGCUAACUCCGUGCCAGCAGCCGCGGUAAUACGGAGGGUGCAAGCGUUGUCCGGAUUUAUUGGGUUUAAAGGGUGCGCAGGUGGUUCUGUAAGUCUGAUUUGAAAGCCGGCGGCUUAACCGUCGGAUGUGGUUGGAAACUGUGGAACUUGAAUGGCGUAGCGGGAGCCGGAAUGGGUCAUGUAGCGGUGAAAUGCAUAGAUAUGACCCGGAACACCGAUUGCGA
rnacentral:rRNA from 1 species